CUCUGUGUUCUGCUUCUGCUAUCACUGAUAGAAAGUAAGAGUUUACUUAUUAUUUAAUCUUUAUUCAACUCAUCAAUAAUAUGAAGUUUGUUUAAUAUUUUCCUUCUCAAUAUUCAUGCUGCUGGGCACUGAUUUCCUAGUAAUAUAUUAGCAUGAAUUAAUGAAUGGUUGAAUUAAUUAAUGGUUGUCUUGCAGAGGAGACGUUUGCACAAUCAAUAACACCACUGGAAAACAAGACACUUAAAAGUGAGGGAGAAACGGUCACCCUGUCCUGUAAAUAUGAAGGCGUUGUGAAUAACCUGCACUGGUAUCGUCAGUAUCCUGGAUUCAGACCAAAGUUCCUCGCAUACAUUUAUGAGCAUGGAGCUACCAGUAAACCUCUUCCUCCACGACUUUUACCUAAAGUUGAUAAAAACAGCAAACGUGUGAGUCUGGAGAUCUCUGAAGCUGAAGUGACUGACUCUGCGCUGUAUUACUGUGCACUGACGCCCACAAUGACAGGAAACUCAUCUACACUCUACAAAAACACAAUGAACAAUAAAAACUGAACAGAAACAUCACACACUAUCAACUAAUCACACAUACAUUCAU